AAAGCUCCGGAGAGGAGCAAGCUGGGCUCAUCUGCCCCGCCCUCCACGGUGUUUCCGGUCUCACUGUGCGGUUCCCGUCUGUGGUUCUCUUGAAUGCGACUGGAAGCUAAAUCCCGUGGUGGGUGCAGUCUAUGGGCCUGAAUUCUAUGCAGUGACGCGGUUCCCCUACCCCACCACGGGCACGGCCGUAGCCUACCCGUAGCCUACCGGGACGCGCACCUACGGGGUCGGAUCCGGGCCCGUUGUUAAUAAAUUUCGGGUUGUGCCCCCUCCCCCGCCCCCAUCCCAACUUAUGGAGCGGCACUGGAGCAAACGCUUGUUAAAAUGCCAGUCCCAUGGGCAGGGCUGGCACCCUGCCCCCUCCCUCCUCAGCAGACGCCGGAGCCGGCCUGCCCGCCACUCU